CAGUAGCCGCGGUAAUACGGAGGGUGCAAGCGUUAAUCGGAAUUACUGGGCGUAAAGCGCACGCAGGCGGUCUGUCAAGUCGGAUGUGAAAUCCCCGGGCUCAACCCGGGAACUGCAUUCGAAACUGGCAGGCUAGAGUCUUGUAGAGGGGUGUAGAAUUCCAGGUGUAGCGGUGAAAUGCGUAGAGAUCUGGAGGAAUACCGGUGGCGAAGGCGGCCCCCUGGACAAAGACUGACGCUCAGGUGCGAUAGCGUGGGGAGCAAACAGGAUUAGAUACCCCAGUAGUCCCUGUCUCUUAUAA
rnacentral:rRNA from 1 species